rnacentral:rRNA from 1 species
GAACGCUGGCGGCGUGCCUAACACAUGCAAGUCGAACGGAGUUUACCGAACGGAAAGUUUUCGGAUGGAAGAUCGGUAAACUUAGUGGCGGACGGGUGAGUAACGCGUGGAUAACCUGCCUCACACAGGGGGAUAACACUUAGAAAUAGGUGCUAAUACCGCAUAAGCGCACAGCUUCGCAUGAAGCAGUGUGAAAGACUCCGGUGGUGUGAGAUGGAUCCGCGUCUGAUUAGCCAGUUGGCGGGGUAACGGCCCACCAAAGCGACGAUCAGUAGCCGGCCUGAGAGGGUGAACGGCCACAUUGGGACUGAGACACGGCCCAAACUCCUACGGGAGGCAGCAGUGGGGGAUAUUGCACAAUGGGGGAAACCCUGAUGCAGCGACGCCGCGUGAGUGAAGAAGUAUUUCGGUAUGUAAAGCUCUAUCAGCAGGGAAGAAAAUGACGGUACCUGACUAAGAAGCUCCGGCUAAAUACG